UUGAGCCUUGGAGACAUCUGUCCUGUGUGAAGAUACCCCUGGCUGUUCAGGACCAGAUAGAACAAGUGGCAGCAGAUGCUGUCACCUUCCAAUUAACAGAAAAAAAAAUCUUUAUUGACCCUGUUGACUGGUUCUGACAGCUUAGUUACACAACACCAGAAGGCUUCCGUCAGAUGGCAUUGCAUCUAGACUGGCAGCAGACGCAAAGGCAAUUUGUCACACGUACGGAGAUCGUGAACUGACGCUGAAUGAACUCAGGUGACGUGGCUGCGCCUCGGACUUGGAAACAAAAACACAAGUGCGCCCUGGGACACACGCGGGCCGGGCUAUCAAAUUAAAACAAUCAGCGGGGUUAAUGAAGCGUCGCCCACAGAUCAGCUGGCUGUAAUGAACUCCAGUCAUCACUCUUAGGGUUAAAGCGGAGCACGCCCCCGGGGCCCAGGCUGUCCGCUGAUACCCAUGUGGCGCUGAUUAGCUCCGCGAAAAACUGCCGGUCCCAGCUGCCACCUGUGUGCCAUGCGUCGCCUGGGACGACCACGCACUCGGACCACCGGUGAUCACCGCUGCGGAACGACCCCGCGCCUCCCGCGCGGAAGUGCGCCUCCGAGCCAACUCUCCCAGCCCGUGACCCAGUUUAUUAGCAAGUACAUGUUCUCUGAUGCCACCCCUUUAUAAAAUGUUGCCGUCUGUGUUCCGAUGCAGAAUUACAAUGCGUGUAACAUAUGUCAAAACAGCCGCGCAUGCAUGAGUAGUAAUGUGUGUAUAACUAUAGCGGUGUUUAAUUUGACUGGUGUCGACGCCCAUGGGCGAUGCGUAAUAUAAAUAAAACUUUUACUGUUUCAUA